rnacentral:misc_RNA from 1 species
GUAGGUGAACCUGCGGAAGGAUCAUUCAUAAUAAGUGCUUUAUGGCACUUUUUUAAAUCCAUAUCCACCUUGUGUGCAAUGUCAGGGUUGAUUUUUCUCUCGAGAGGAUCAGCCCCAAACAUCAACUAUAUCUCAACUCUUUGUCUGAAAAAUAUUAUGAAUAAAACAAUUCAAAAUACAACUUUCAACAACGGAUCUCUUGGCUCUC